rnacentral:tRNA from 1 species
GCGGGUGUAGCUCAGCGGUAGAGCGUUACCUUGCCAAGGUAAAUGUCGAGGGUUCGAUCCCCUUCACCCGCU